ASUAAGGUUUGCAAGACUUUAUCUCACAUACUCUGAAUGCAACCCAGAUACUUUAAUUAAGAUAAAACCCU
rnacentral:tRNA from 1 species